UGGCUAACUCCUACGGGAGGCAGCAGUGGGGAAUAUUGCACAAUGGGGGAAACCCUGAUGCAGCAACGCCGCGUGAGUGAUGACGGCCUUCGGGUUGUAAAGCUCUGUCUUCAGGGACGAUAAUGACGGUACCUGAGGAGGAAGCCACGGCUAACUACGUGCCAGCAGCCGCGGUAAUACGUAGGUGGCGAGCGUUGUCCGGAUUUACUGGGCGUAAAGGGAGCGUAGGCGGACUUUUAAGUGAGAUGUGAAAUACCCGGGCUCAACUUGGGUGCUGCAUUUCAAACUGGAAGUCUAGAGUGCAGGAGAGGAGAAUGGAAUUCCUAGUGUAGCGGUGAAAUGCGUAGAGAUUAGGAAGAACACCAGUGGCGAAGGCGAUUCUCUGGACUGUAACUGACGCUGAGGCUCGAAAGCGUGGGGAGCAAACAGGAUUAGAAACCCCGGUAGUCCAGCUGG
rnacentral:rRNA from 1 species